AGGCUGUCGUCAGCUCGUGUCGUGAGAUGUUGGGUUAAGUCCCGCAACGAGCGCAACCCUCACUUUUAGUUGCCAUCAUUAAGUUGGGCACUCUGAAAGAACUGCCAGUGAUAAGCUGGAGGAAGGUGGGGAUGACGUCAAGUCCUCAUGGCCCUUACGUGUUGGGCUACACACGUGCUACAAUGGUAUCUACAACAGGAAGCAAGACGGCGACGUUAAGCAAAUCCUUAAAAGAUACCUCAGUUCGGAUUGCACUCUGCAACUCGAGUGCAUGAAGCUGGAAUUACUAGUAAUCGUGGAUCAGCGUGCCACGGUGAAUGCGUUCCCGGGUCUUGUACACACCGCCCGUCACACCAUGGGAGUUGGUUCUACCUUAAGGCAAGGUUUUAAACCCUUGACCACGGUAUAGUCAGCGACUGGGGUGAAGUCGUAACAAGGUAGCCGUAGGGGAACCUGCGGCUGGAUUACCUCCUUUCUAAGGAUGAGUGAAAGUAAAAUUUCAUUCUAAAUAAUAUAUAUCGGUAAUGUUGACCGUCCUCAUUUCUCUUCUUAAAGUAGUGUUUCUCUUGCAUAGGGGCCGGUAGCUCAGUUGGUUAGAGCACACCCUUGAUAAGGGUGGGGUCGAAAGUUCGAGUCUUUCUCGGCCCACCAUACUUAACUGGGGGAUUAGCUCAGCUGGGAGAGCGCCUGAUUUGCAUUCAGGAGGUCAGCGGUUCGAUCCCGCUAUCCUCCACCAGGAAACAUUUAGUUAUAAAAAUUGUAAAUAAAAAUAAUAAUUAAUAUCAAUAUCUAUAUCCGAACAUUAGUAAUGUUAUUAGCUAAUGUUCAAAAUAAAAAUUUGAUCACAACAUAGAUAAAUAUUCUUUAAAAAGAAUUUUUUUCUGUGCAUAAAUCAAGCGUUUAAGGGCGUGUAGUGGAUGCCUUGGCACUGAAAGCCGAUGAAGGACGUGAUAUACUGCGAUAAGUUUCGGGGAGCUGUAUGUAAGUUUUGAUCCGAAAAUUUCCGAAUGGGGAAACCCGG
rnacentral:sRNA from 1 species